rnacentral:rRNA from 1 species
AGUGAACGCUGGCGGCGUGCUUAACACAUGCAAGUCGCACGAGAACGCUUCUGCUUGCAGAGGCAAGUAAAGUGGCGCACGGGUGAGUAACACGUGGGUAAUCUACCUCCGAAUUGGGGAUAACAUUGCGAAAGCGAUGCUAAUACCGAAUAAUAUCGCUUGACCCUCGGAGAUUGCGAUCAAAGGUGGCCUCUUCUUGAAAGCUACUGUUUGGAGAUGAGCCCGCGUCCCAUUAGCUAGUUGGUAGGGUAACGGCCUACCAAGGCUUCGAUGGGUAGCUGGUCUGAGAGGAUGAUCAGCCACACUGGAACUGACACACGGUCCAGACUCCUACGGGGAGGCUG